rnacentral:rRNA from 1 species
UACGGGGGGAGCAAGCGUUGUUCGGAUUUACUGGGCGUAAAGGGCGCGUAGGCGGCCACCGCAAGUCAGUUGUGAAAGCUCUGGGCUUAACCCAGAAAGGUCAACUGAUACUGCGGGGCUAGAGUGCAGAAGGGGCAACUGGAAUUCUCGGUGUAGCGGUGAAAUGCGUAGAUAUCGAGAGGAACACCUGCGGCGAAGGCGGGUUGCUGGGCUGACACUGACGCUGAAGCGCGAAAGCUAGGGGAGCGAACGGG